AUGGUGUUGAGUUGGUAACUCUUCUCUAAACUGAUCAUGGCUUCCAGAAGAUGGAUAAUGAUGGCUUAUAUUAGAAGAGUGUUGAAGCUUAGGUUCAUUUGGUAAUUCUUGUUUAAAAUGGUCAUGGCUUGUGGCAGAAGAGUGUUGAAGUUUAGGCUCAGUUGGUAGUAAAUUUGGUGUGAUAUGAUCAUGGCUUGAAGGGUAUUGAGGUAAAUGUUUAUCUUGGCUUGAAGGGUAUUGUGGUAAUUGUUGAUUUUGGUGUUGUGGUAAAUGUUGAUUUUGGCUUGAAGGGUGUUGAUGUAAAUGUUGAUCAUGGCUAGUUGCAAAAUGGUGUUGAGGUUUAGGCUCAGUUGGUAGUAAAUUUGGUGUGAAAUGUUGUGGUAAAUGUUGAUCAUGGGUUAAAGGGUAUUGUGGUAAAUUUUGAUCUUGGCUUGAAGGGUAUUGCGGUAAAUGUUGAUCAUGGCUUGAAGGGUAUUGUGGUAAAUGUUGAUCAUGGCUAGUUGCAAAAUGGUGUUGAGGUUUAGGCUCAUUUGGUUGCAACUUUGGUGUGAAAUGUUGAUCAUGAGGUAAAUGUUGAUCAUGACUUGAAGGGUAUUGUGGUAAAUUUUGAUCUUGGCUUGAAGGGUAUUGUGGUAAAUGUUGAUCAUGACUAGUUGCAAAACGGUGUUGAGGUUUAGGCUCAUUUGGUGUAAAAUGAUCAUGGCUUGAAGGGUAUUGUGGUAAAUGUUGAUCAUGGCUUGUUGCCAAAGGGUAUUGAGUUUUUGUUGGAUAGGAAUGUUGUUGCAAGUUUUGAUCAUGAUUUUUGGGGUAUUGAGUUUUGAUUUCAGUUGAUAGUUGUGGUGAAUUUUGGUUAUAUGUUGAAGUAGGUAAUGAUGAUGGAUAAGGAGUUUUGGUUUCUGUAGAAAGUUGUGGAGGAAAUUGGUGAUGGAUUCCAAUGGAAGGUUUAGGGUAUUGUGUUUCAUCAAUAGUUGGAAGAGUUUUUGCUUCAUUUUGAACUGACAUUCUCUCAAUAGAUUUUUUAAUUGGGGUAAUGUCAAUUUCUGCACCACCUGUUAAACAAUUAUUAUAACAUUAUAAUUUUUUAAAUUUCAUGAAACUACAUUAUUCAAUAGUCCAAAAAAAUGACCUGCCCUAGUUGGAUCAGUGAGUUUGGUUUGAUAAUUGGAAAUAGCAUAUGCUUCAAGUCUACUUCCAGGUGCAUGAGGAUCUUCCUCCAAAUUCAUUCUUCUCUCUAAAUUAACCUUAUGUUGCAUACUUUGAUUAAUUUCAGUAGUAGUUGGAGAAACAACUACUACUCUUGCCUCAUGAUCAUGUUCUUCUCUCAUAACUCUUGUGCCUCCAAAAUUCACAUUUCUAACUCUAGCACUGUCAUAAACUGAAGAAAAAAAAAAAAACAAAAAAAAAAUUAUACGUAUGAAAUCAAAUUUGUUUCUUGACCUCUUAGAAAUCUGAUUUAAAAGACACUGAAUUAGUCCUUAAAAUUAAACAUUACAUUAUUUAAUGAAUUAUUGAUUUAGUUUCUAAAAUUAAUUUGAGAAUAUAUUUGAUUUUUCAAAUGUAGUUUCCCCAAAAUCACAUAACAAAAAUUAAAUCAUAUAAAUCACUUAAAUAAUAAAUGUGAAAAUCAAACAUACACUAAACUAAAUUAGUUGAGUUGAAAAAAAUGAGACACUUCAUCCUCUUCUUAGAGUGGCUAUAUAUUUAACUAGUUUCCACAUUUUUAUCAAUAAUAAUUGUGUUAUAGAAAUGAAAAAGAAAAAAAAAAUACUUGGUGCUCCAUGGACUUCUGGGUCUUGAACCAAUUCUUCAUCAUAGUCAUCUUCCUCAUCCAAAUCAUGAUCAUCAGGGAUAUGUUGAUCUUCAUAAUGAUACUGAUCAUGACCAUGUUCUUGAUGACCAUGCUUUGUGAGUGUGUUCUUAAUUUUCUUAGCCUUUGCCUUCACUUUCUUUAGAACCGAUUUCUUUUCAUGGCCAUCAUGAUGUUCCUCCUUACCAUGUGCCACUAUACAUCCAAAAAAAAUUAAAAAAGUAAUAACAAAUUAACUAUGAGAAAAGUAAAUGUAUGCUCGUCUAAUUAGCGGAAAAACAAAUAACCAUUUUUGUGUGUAAAGUUUCAAAUAAAUUAAUUAUCUAAUUAUUUAAUGAUAUGUCAUAUUUAUUAAAUGAUGUGACAGCACAUCAAUAAAUGUGUGGAUAAAAUAUAAAUCAAUAAAUAUGUAGUUAUAAUGUACUUUAAUUUUUUUUUAUAAAUUUUAUUUAAUUUUAAUUCCCUUUAACUUAAUUUCAAAAAAUAUUUUAGUUUUUUCUUUAUUUAAUUUUUUAUAUUUUAAAAUAUAAAAAAUAUUAUUCUUUUUUAUAAAAAAUUUAAAAAUUUAAUCAAAAUCUUCAAACAAAACUUAUAAAAUUUAAUAUUAAUUUUUUUAAAAAAUCAUAUAUUCACCAAAUUAAUUACUCAAAUACUUCUAUAAAAUCAUCUUUCCUUUCUAAGGACAUUAAAUUCAUCAAAUAACAAAUAAAAAUAAAAAUUUAUUUAAAAUUUAGAUUAUGAAUUUAAUAAAACUUGAAUUAUAUUAAAAAUAAUAAUUAAUUUUAUAAAUUUUAUUUAAAAUUUUAAUUUUUUUAUAUAAAUCAAAUAUUUUUUUAAAAUUAGAUUCUAUGAAUGUAGAAACUAUCUACAUUGAGUGUAUUUAAAAAGUUAUAAAUAAUAGUGAAUGUUAAAUAUUUUUAUAAAAAUAAAUAAAAAAAUUAGUAUAAUGCAAAUAUAAAGCAUAAAAUGAUGUUUUUUUAAUAAAAAGUUUUAAGAAUAGUUUCUUCGUUAACAAAAAAAUAAAUUAAAAUAACAAGUUAACAAUGAGAAAAAUAAAUACAUGCCCAUCCAUUUUAUGGAAAAAAAGUAAAAUAAAAUGCUCGAUCUUUAAAUCAAAUAAAACAAAGGAAAGAAUAAAAUAAAUCCAUAAACAUACCUUGUUGUGAGCCAAAAUUUUGAGGAUGAUGAUGUUCAUCGUGCUCGUGGGCAUGACUUUGCAUUGUUCUUGAGUCCAUGAUUAAUUGAAAAAGGAAUAGUAACUACUUCAAUUCUUGUUCAAUAAACACAAAUGUUUAUUUAUAGAGAAACAACAUGAUACUAUGAUAUGCAUGCCAUGGUUGUGGCGUUUAAAAGUGGUGACACGUGUGAUGUAGCCAAAUAUGUCUUUGUUUGACACGUGUCGACUUGUUUUGUUUACGUGUCUCAUUCUCUUAUAUCAUGGUGUAACCUUUUAAAUAGGAACAAAAGCUAAUACUCUUCGAGUUGAAACAUUCUAAAAAGAAAAAUAUAAUAUGGAUUUUUAAUAUAAAAUAGUUUUAUAUUAAUAUUUUUUAUAUUUUAUAAAAUUUAGUUCAGUUAAUAAAUGUUAAUAUUAUUAAAUUCAAUAUUAUAUUUUAAAUUUAAAUUUUAUAUGUUUGUAAUUAUAUUUAAAAAAAUUUAUUUAUACAAAAAAAAUUAUAUUCUACAUAUCACACUAUUUUACCUUCAUUUUAUAAUAAGACAUGAUAAAAAAAUAAUUUCUAUUUGAAAUUAAUAUAAAAUUAUUUUAAAUUGAUAGUAUAUGUUCAUUAAAUUCUUUUAAAAUUAAAAUUUAUGGUCAUUUGUAAUGUCUAAUAGAAGUAGAAAUAAAUUGAAUCGAACUAAGUUUUGUUAGACUUGAAUCUAAUCUAUCAAAAAAUUUAAGAAUUAAAUCUGAUUUAACUUGUGUCUUGUGUCCUAUGGCUAUCAAGAAAAUUUAUUUAACUUAAUAUUUUGAUAUAAGUUUAUGAAUUUGCACACAGUAGUACAAUAUAAUAAAAUAAACAAAAAUAAACUUAUUAAAAUAUUCAGUUACAAAAUAUUUAAAUGAAAACAAUAUCAUCACUUCAAAUAUAUCAUUAUUUUUACUCAAUAUAUUAGCCAAAACCAAAUAUCAUCCACUCCAAAUACUCAUACAAUUGAAUUUUCAAGAGAAAGAAUACCUAAGAGAGAGCAGCCUGAAACCAAUUACCUUCAACUUUUUCUUUGUGAUAUCAAAACUGCAAAUAACUACAAAAGGACAAGCUAUGAAUAUUUUAGUAAAACAUUCAUUCACAAGAGUACUAGUUUCACAAAUAAAUAGCAAAAUACUAUAAAUGAAAGCUUAAUGCCAAAUAAACAUUUGAAUAGAAAUAACAAUGGGGGUGCAGCAACUCAUGUCUCUUACUAGCAAAUUAGAAUAUACCAUUUUAAAAUUAAACUUAUUGUCAAUUUUAUUUUUAGAGGUGUUUGCGAUGCAGUUUGAAUCGACAAAUAAUCAUCCGAUUCGAAAAAUAAUUUGAAAUUAUGCAAUUUUUUAGGACACUUGCAUAAUUUGAUCUAUAUAAGAUAAAUAAUAUUUCAAUAAGCUUUGGAUAGUAAUUUUAAAGAAAAUAAUUUCCAUUUUGUAUAAUAAAGGUGCAACCUACUCUUGUUUUUAACUUAAUUUUGGUGUAGCCAUGGUUGGUUAAAAUAAUUGAACUAGUGAACCUAUAUAUAGUAGUUAGGACCUGGCUAAAAUUCAAGAAUAAAAAUAUUUGAUGUUACUGUUGAAUAUAUUGUGGUUUGGUUUAAUUUGAACGGUUUUCAAUUAUUAGAUGUGAUUUUAUUUUAGAUUGAUUUAAAUUUGAACACUUCUAUUUAUCUUUAAUUCGUUUUGAGUUAUUUAAUUAUUAAAUGCGUGUUUUAUAACUAGGUGAAAUAGACUAAUAGAAGAUUUCUAUUAUAAAUUACUAAUAUAGAUGAUGAACUUAUAAGAAAUGUUUUAUAUGCAUUUAGAUACUUGUUUUUAUAUAUGCUUUUCGAGUAGUCUAUUUCUAAAAUAAAUAAAUAAAUUACUAUUUACUUUCUCAAUAAAGUUAGGACCAUGUACUAGUAAAAAAUAAUAAAACACCGACUUAAAGAGAGACGACCACAAUAACAACAGUAGCAACAACAACAAAAGUUGAUCACGUUAAAUAUUAUAAAAUUUAUUAUCAUUAAUAGUAUUUUAGACAUAAGAUUCAAAAUGAAUUGAUUAAUAUGCAUAAAAAAAUAUAAUAAAUUAAAUCAAUAGAUUAAUAUAACAUCAAAUAUAAUUAAAUUUUUAUUGUCAUUGUAUGACUUAUAAAAAAAUAAAGAACUUGUAUCAAAAGAAAAGUAGGGCACUAAAUUUAAACUUCGUACAUGACACACAAAAAUUCAGGGACGGUCGUAGAUGUGACAUAUUUUAAAUGAUAUGACAUACGGUCUCAUGAUGUAAAACUGUUUGGAUGCAUUAAUCCUUUAUAUAUUAUUAAUAAAAUUAUAAAAAUAAAUAAUUUUAGAGAUUAAAAUUUUUAGAGGGUUUUAUUGUAAUUUCAUAAAUAUUAAUCGUUCAACAUCGUCGUAUCAUAUAUUAUAUCGUUUAAAAUAUGUCAUAUAAUAAUUUUUUAGUUAAAAACUUGAAGAAGGGACCAAAAUUAUUGGAUAUUAAAAUGGGUAACUAAUUAUAUAAAUUAGUAAAAAUAUGAGACUAAAAUUGUAAAUUAACUCAAUUCAAUUUACAAAUUUUCUUCUUUUUGUAAAAUUGACACAAAAUAAAUAUCAUUUCAAUUGGUAAAACAAAGAGGACCAAAAUGUGAAGAAGAAAAAAAUGAAAAAAAAAAACCCAUAAACAAAUAUAUCAAUCAAGGUUGGAGUUAUAUGACAAAUUUUAAUAUGAGGUGUUUUAAGUUUAUGAUAAUAUUUUAAUAAAAUUAUUAAAUUUUAAUUUAAAAUUAAUUUAUAGACACUUUAAAAUAUAAAAUUAUUUAUUAAAUUAAUAUAAUUGAUAUUAUAUAAUAGAUUUUUUUUAUUGAUGAUAAAGUCAAUUGAUUUACUAUUUAUUGAGAUAAUAUUAAUUUUAAAUAAUAUUUGUUCAUAAGGUAUUUACUCAACGGUAAGAGUUUGACUUUGUAGCAUCAAAGAGAAAAGAGAAAAGGAUAGAUUUAAAAAUCUCUAUCAAAAAGGGGGCAAAUUUAAUAAUAAAUAUUAUAUUGGUUCGUAUAAUAAAAUAUUUUUGUGCUGCCAUGGUGGUAUGAGAAUAAUUUAAAAAGAAUUAAAUUCAUUUUGGUCACUCAUAUGAAAUAAUACAAAUAUUUAGGAGAUGAUGGUGAUAUGUUUCUGUAAAUAUUAGAAAUUUGAUAGAAGUUACAAGUUAAUGAUAUCAGAGGUUCUAUUUUUUCCAUAGAGUUUCUCUACCAAUAUUCCAUCAAUAACGAGUUGUGGAAAAAAAAGGAACGAAACAGAAUGAGAUAGAUUGGAAUUUGCAAGAUUAUGGCUUCAACUCUUUCGCUUUAUAUUAAUUUCAUCAUGAAAGAAGGUAUAUCCUUUAAUGCAUCUUUAUGGGAGAAUCAUAGAUUUCAAGAUCAAUGAAAUUAUGAUAGUUUUUUUAAUUGCAAACAUCAAUACGAAAAUAAAAAAUUUAAAUGUGAUAUCAAAGCAUUGGGUUCUCCAUUAAUAUUACUUUUAUACUUAGAAUUUUCCUUCAAUGUCUUAAAAAGGUGUUUUCUAGUCACAUUAUUGAAAUAUGCACUUCAUGAAUGAUGUUCUCAUGACAACACUAUUAAAGUCUAUGUACUUUUGGAAGACUUCAUUAUAGAUGUUAAUAAUUCAUCACUACAAUAUUUUUAUGGAUAGUUCAUUAUCUUACUACAAUUUUUUAUUUUUUAUUGGAUUGAGUUGUUUACUUGUUAUUUUGAAUAUUUACUAAACAAUUUAUUUAAUUUCAUUUUAUUUUUCAAUUACUCGUAUUAUGGAUAAUCAAAUUUAUUACUAUUUAUGAUUAAGUCAAAGUUUAUUGUUAUCAGAUAUUUUUGUUAGUUGAUUGUUGUUAGAACUUAUAACAUUUUUGGAUCACUCAAAUGUUGAUUGAUUGUUGUUAGAACUUAUAACAUAUGGACAUAAAUGUUGGUAAUUUGUUUGUAUUAUUAGUUUUAUUUAGAUAUCUAAAGAUCGUGGAUAUUUCUAAUUAAUACAUAUGUCAUGCUAAAUAAAUGUGAAAUUAAUAGAAUUAUUAUUUGAUUGUGUGUAUCUAGAACAUUAAUAUUCAUAUAAUGAUUGUUCUUUAAAUUUGAUUGCAUGUUCUUUAUAACUCAAAGCACUAAUAUUACACAUGUGAUCAUUUAAGAAUAACAUUACGUCAAAUCUAAAUCUUCCUUAAAUUGAAAGAGCAAAAUAAUUUAUAAGUUUUGUGGAAGAAAGCAUAGUGUGCAAACUUGAGAAGUCCAUAUAUAGACUAAACAUUAAACACUUUGACCUUUAAGUUACAAAUAUUAUAUAUUUUGAUUCUUUUUAAUAUUGUUUAAUAUUAUAAUUUGGAUUCAAAUGUCUAACGUUUAUAACUUAAGUGUCUAACGUUUGUAAUUUAAGUAAUCAAAGUGAAACAAACAAAACUUAAGUGACCAAAAUGAAACCCAUAAAUAACUUAAAGGGCCAAAACUAUAAUUUAGCAUAUAUAUCUAACAUUUGUUAGGAUCUAUAGCUACUCAAAUCUAGAUGUGGUGAAUAGAUUCCUCGCAUGCAAUGGAUUCAAAACAAUUUAUAAACUUUUUCGCAAAAGGAAAUUAUGUUUAUUUGAACUAUAAAUAAAAUCAUUAAGAUUUAUUGCAAAACACUAUAUUUGAUAGCAAGAGUUGAAUGUGUUAAUUUCUUAAUUGAAUAGAGACUUCAAUUAAGAGAUUAAUAAAGAUCAAUUGACACCUAAUAUAUAAAUUGCAUAACACUUUGAGUAUGAACUAAACCAAACUUGAUUACUCAAAAGACUAACACCAAGAACUAUAACAAUGCAAAAAAAUUGAUGAGCAUUAACAAAUCAUUUUGUACUAACACUAUACUUUGUUCUUCACCUUAUGUGAAGAAGACGUAAAAUUGAUUUUCAAUACAAUUAAAAUCCACACUAAAGACCUGAAUUUUGUUAAUUUUCUUCAAAGUUGUUUUUCAAUUUUUGAAAUAAUUUUUUGCACACAACUAAAUUAGAAAAUUCAUCAAUAAUUUUAAUCAACACUUGUGCAUAAACUUUUUCACUUUGACCAAAAAUAACUUUUCAAAAAUAAAAUUUAUGCAUUAAUCAAUUAAUUUUUAAAAAUGAAAAGAUUAGGGAAAAGAGAAAGUGAUAUCGAAUUUUAUCAUGAUUCGAUCAUUUAGUCCUCGCUUGUGACUUAUAUUUAAUCCCCUCACCAAUUGAUGAGAGACUUUUUUCCACUAAUUUGAUUAUGAAAGAUAGUAUCUAAAUACAACAUAAAAUUAUCUCGAAUCCUAUGAAUCUAAAUCAAUUUAGCCUUCCAUAUCUUCAAUCUCUAUUUAUUCUUCAAAAAAUCCCAAAUCUUGAUCUCAGAUCUCAAGAUUUGGUCAUAAUCUUCAAUUUGAUUUUCUACACUCCAAUUGAUGAAACCAUUUCUUUGAGCCUCGAUCUCCAAUUUAAUCUCCUCUAAAGUCUUCAAUCCAAUUGAGCUAGCUUUCCUUCAACUUUGAAGAUUUCAAAAGUAACUCCUAAAAUCUCAUUUCUAGUAGAAAAAAAUUGAGAUUAUUUUCCUUCUUCAAUUGCAAUCUUGAAACCCUCAAAAUUUACAACAUCAUAAACACUCAAAAAACAAAGCAAUCCUAGCUAAGUUUUCUCACAAUCAAUCACUCACACCAAAUGAUUUCUAAGAGUUUUCAAAGAUACUUUGCAUGAAAUAGAAAUCGAGAGAAGAUGAGUGGUUCAACCUAAUGAACGAAUGAGAAAUAAAUCAUUUUCACCUAAUGAAUGAAUGAGAAAUAAAUCAUUUUAUAUGUGGUAUAAAGUCAACUAAUAUGAUGUUGUAAAAAUCAUGUGCAUGAUUCGAAAUAGACUGUAAUGGGAUUCGAAUCACAUAAGCAAAAAUGAUAUAAUGAAUCAACUUUAAUUUCUAUUCAAAGGAUUCAAAUCAACUCAACUAGGUGAUUUGAAUCAACCUUAAUGUGAUUCGAAUCACUCUAUUUGUUUUCCUCAAAAACUUAAAAAAUAUAAUGGUGAUUUGAAUCAACUCAAAUUUAUAUUCAACUCAUUUGAAUAACAAAUAUAGAAAUGAUAAAACUUGUGAUUUUAAUGCAUUUUUUAGAUCCAACACAUUUGAAAAUUAAAAUGACUAUACCAAAGAUUUUAAUGUAUGUGUUGAAUAUUUAUUUUCUCAUAUCCUAAGAUGUAAAUGAUUAUUGAGAGAGCCUUAGUUACAUCAUCUAAUUCAACCUAGUUUUGACAUCAUUCAAACUAAACUAGUCUAAAACACAAGCGACCAUACAUUCACAUCGUUCACUCUUCAAAUUGAUAGUAUGUCUCUUGUUUAACUAAUUUAAAUCUAGUGGUAAAAAGACGUGUCUCAGACCUAAAUAUUUUGGGUUCGAUCCCCACUAGUGUCUUUAGAGGAAGAUAAAAAUGUAAAUAUCUUUGUAUGUGUUCUUUGAGUCCGAAGAUUUUCUCUACUUUAAACUGAAGUAUCAUCCUUCACUCUAUCUUUUGUUUGAUUCACAUUGAUAUCAUAAAUCAAUAUGAUACCAACACAUGUAAAAAUAUUUUUAUUUUCUCAAAUUAUCAAAAAAAUAUAUAUAUAUCUUCAUGUGUUGUGUUCGUAUAUCUAUAUGUGAUCUAUAAAUUACAUAUAAAUUAAUUUCUAAUAGUUGAAUAACAUAUAAAAAAAUAUAAGAUAGUAUAUAAUCUCAAAUUAAAUUUUUUUUAUUCAUUUAGUUUUGAAAAUAAUAUAAACAUUUUUUUUUGGUUGAGAAAGAAUAUAAACCUUUUAUUUAGUGAAAGUUCAAUUUUAUUUUAUUUUUUGAAGUCUUUUUAUUAAUUAAUCUGUUUUAAAGUUUAAAAUAAUUUUCUAAGUGGUCUUACUUACCCUAGGACCAACAUUAAUAUAAAAAAAAAGAUAAAAUUUGGUUAUAGUUUUAUAAUUUUAGAAAUUAUUUUAAAAUAUCGAUAGUGGGAGAAACUACAAUUUCAAAAAAUAAUGUAAUUAGUUACUCGAUAUUGAUACAUGGAAAAAUUAAUAGUUAGUUUUGUGAAAA
rnacentral:lncRNA from 1 species